rnacentral:sRNA from 1 species
UUUGUCAACGGUAAAUCGGACUGAGUGAAGGAUGAACAAAGUAGAAUUUAAGGAGUUGACAAACUAACUACA